UACGAACCGUGCAAACGUUGUUCGGAAUCACUGGGCUUAAAGGGCGCGUAGGCGGGCUGGUAAGUCAGGGGUGAAAGCCCACGGCCCAACCGUGGAAGUGCCUUUGAUACUGCCAGUCUCGAGGGAGGUAGGGGCGUGCGGAACUUCCGGUGGAGCGGUGAAAUGCGUAGAUAUCGGAAGGAACACCGGUGGCGAAGGCGGGUCUCUGGACAGUUCCUGACGCUGAGGCACGAAGGUCAGGGGAGCAAACGGG
rnacentral:rRNA from 1 species